GGGGUUGUAGCUCAGGGGUGGAGUGCUCGCCUAGCAUGUGCGAGGCCCUGGGUUUAAUCCUCAGCACCACA
rnacentral:tRNA from 1 species